rnacentral:rRNA from 1 species
GGGGGGGUGCUUACCAUGCAGUCGACGAUGAAGCCCAGCUUGCUGGGUGGAUUAGUGGCGAACGGGUGAGUAACACGUGAGUAACCUGCCCUUAACUCUGGGAUAAGCCUGGGAAACUGGGUCUAAUACCGGAUAGGAGCGCCCACCGCAUGGUGGGUGUUGGAAAGAUUUAUCGGUUUUGGAUGGACUCGCGGCCUAUCAGCUUGUUGGUGAGGUAAUGGCUCACCAAGGCGACGACGGGUAGCCGGCCUGAGAGGGUGACCGGCCACACUGGGACUGAGACACGGCCCAGACUCCUACGGGAGGCAGCAGUGGGGAAUAUUGCACAAUGGGCGCAAGCCUGAUGCAGCGACGCCGCGUGAGGGAUGACGGCCUUCGGGUUGUAAACCUCUUUCAGUAGGGAAGAAGCGAAAGUGACGGUACCUGCAGAAGAAGCACCGGCUAACUACGUGCCAGCAGCCGCGGUAAUACGUAGGGUGCGAGCGUUAUCCGGAAUUAUUGGGCGUAAAGAGCUCGUAGGCGGUUUGUCGCGUCUGUCGUGAAAGUCCGGGGCUUAACCCCGGAUCUGCGGUGGGUACGGGCAGACUAGAGUGCAGUAGGGGAGACUGGAAUUCCUGGUGUAGCGGUGGAAUGCGCAGAUAUCAGGAGGAACACCGAUGGCGAAGGCAGGUCUCUGGGCUGUAACUGACGCUGAGGAGCGAAAGCAUGGGGAGCGAACAGGAUUAGAUACCCUGGUAGUCCAUGCCGUAAACGUUGGGCACUAGGUGUGGGGACCAUUCCACGGUUUCCGCGCCGCAGCUAACGCAUUAAGUGCCCCGCCUGGGGAGUACGGCCGCAAGGCUAAAACUCAAGGAAAUUUGGACGGGAGUC